CGAUGUCAACUGUACCAAAGACUAUAGUCUUCAUAGUGGGGUCCAUUCUUUUAGGGUUUCACUGACACAUUUUUUUUUUUUUUUAUCUUUUUUUCAUUCAUUUCCGAUCCAUUAUUCUCCGUGUAUUUUUGUGUGUUCUUUUUAGUUUUCUGGUUAGAGCUGGUGAUGGAUUCAAUUGCUAAUGUUAAUUGGUGUGAUUUGGACUUGUUUAUGGAUAAUGAAUCUGAAUAGAUGUAUUUGUUAUGGUGUGUAGGUUAUAUUUUUUUAUUAACUUUGCAAGGUGGUGGUGUUUUGUUCCUAAUUUUGAUGCCAUCUCUUGCAUUUGUCUUAAAGUUUAUUCUUCAAUUGUAAGAUCUUUGACCUUUUGGGGGUGUGUAGUAAGUGCAGGCAUCGAGGGCAAGGCUGGCUGUACAAGGAGUACAAAGAAAUGCAGCAAGAAAAAGACUGUUGAUCCUGAUAUUAAAGCAGUCUUUGUUGAUUCUAACAUUUUUAAAUGGAAAGGGUCUUAUCAAGUUGGGGUCCCUCUGAGACUCUUUACGAGGGGUGCGAGUUCCAGUUUACUUUCUCUAUUCUGGAGCAGUAUCCUCUACAGCCACCUCGAGUCCUGUUUUUGACUAAAAUAUUCACCUAAUGUUCACUUUAAGACGAUGCCAAAACCAGUCAAUAAGACAAGGCCAGAGUUGCAGCGAGCGUUAGCUGAGUUUGAUGCUGGGGUCCGUUUCUCACAGAACCGAAGCUGGAUCAAAAUAUGGACAAAUGUGAUCAUCUAACUCAUACUCCAUCACCAUCAAACGGAGAUUAAAAGGCAUAAUUUUAAAGUUCCAGUGUGGUCUCAGGAUAUCCCUGCUCAGUGCCAAAUGAGGGAGUUGGGACCACUAAUCCGUUUAGUCAUUUCAUUUUUAAAGGAAUUUUAUAAGGGCACUUGGCCAAUCAAGGACCACAUGCAACUGUGCAUAAGGGAACACAGGCAUCAAUCCAUAUCUCAAAGACAUGACUCAUCAUAUGGUUGUGUCUGUGUGUGCAAGGUGCAACCGUGCUUGGGAUAUAGCAAUUGGCUAAGUUGUUUAG